CUGAAUCCUGAAUAGGAAUUGAAAUUUGUUAAAUUCCGCUGUGCAUGUUUAAAUCAAUUCCAAUACCAGUUCCACCAUACUACAAAAUAAAAUACAAUGGAAAUUCCAUUAGAGAAAUUUACAAGUAAGAUUGGAGGACAUCGAUUUCUUGAGAGAUUAACAUGUUUGGCUAAACAUUAAAAAGAAAAAGAUUCUGUAGUGAAAAUCCAAGAAGUGACUUUUCUUAAAAACCUCAAACAUGUUUGAUGAAGAACGCUUCUUAAUCAUAACUUAUAAGCUUAGCCAAACAUGCAAGGAGGGAGAAAUAAACGUACUUGGGAGAACCAGAACCAAAUGAUGACGUGUUGUGAACGAAUAUAUUUUGGUGGUCAUGAACCAUAAUGAAACCACUCUCUGGUUGCGCAUUUGUCUCCGGUGAACCAUGAAAGCCAGCAACUGAGUUAUUUCCAGGGGAGAUUCCUGAGUGAGCACAUAAUGCAACACCAUGGUCAGGAAAUCAAGGCAGUAAAAUUCAUAAACCAACGUAAUGAACCCCUUUUAAUUAAUCCACUAAAGUUAUAGAGGAAGAAA
rnacentral:lncRNA from 1 species